rnacentral:rRNA from 1 species
GGAUUCCCCUAGUAACUGCGAGUGAAGCGGGAAAAGCUCAAAUUUAAAAUCUGGCAGUCUUUUUUUGACUGUCCGAAUUGUAGUCUGGAGAAGUGCUUUCCGCGCUGGACCGUGUACAAGUCUCUUGGAACAGAGCGUCAUAGAGGGUGAGAAUCCCGUCUUUGACACGGACAAUCAGUGCUUUGUGAUGUGCUCUCAAAGAGUCGAGUUGUUUGGGAAUGCAGCUCAAAAUGGGUGGUAAAUUCCAUCUAAAGCUAAAUAUUGGCGAGAGACCGAUAGCGAACAAGUACCGUGAGGGAAAGAUGAAAAGCACUUUGGAAAGAGAGUUAAACAGUACGUGAAAUUGCUGAAAGGGAAACGCUUGAAGUCAGUCGCGUUGGCCAGAACUCAGCCUUGCUUUUUUGCUUGGUGCACUUUCUGGUUGACGGGCCAGCAUCAAUUUUGACUGCUGGAUAAAGGUUGGGGGAAUGUGGCACCUUAGGGUGUGUUAUAGCCCUCAGUCCGCAUACAGUGGUUGGGAUUGAGGAUCUCAGUACGCCUUUAAGGCAAGGGGUUWUAACUUCCCUAUGCUCGUGCUUAGGAUGCUGGCAUAAUGGCUUUAAACGACCCGUCUUGAAACACGGACCAAGGAGUCUAACAUGCCUGCGAGUGUUUGGGUGGAAAACCCGAGCGCGUAAUGAAAGUGAAAGUUGAGAUCCCUGUCGUGGGGAGCAUUGACGCCCGGACCAGACCUUCUGUGACGGAUCCGCGGUAGAGCAUGUAUGUUGGGACCCGAAAGAUGGUGAACUAUGCCUGAAUAGGGUGAAGCCAGAGGAAACUCUGGUGGAGGCUCGUAGCGAUUCUGACGUGCAAAUCGAUCGUCAAAUUUGGGUAUAGGGGCGAAAGACUAAUCGAACC